rnacentral:rRNA from 1 species
AAACCAACAGGGAUUGCCCUAGUAACGGCGAGUGAACAGGCAAGAACUCAGAUUUGAAAGGCACUUUUGUGCCGUUGUAUUCUGAAGUUAGGGUCCUGAGAAACGAUGCUUAAGUCUUCUGGAAAGGAGCGCCAUGGAGGGUGAUAGCCCCGUCUAGCAUUGACCUCAUAUAGGAUCUUAACAUGGAGUCGAGUUGUUUGGGAAUGCAGCUCAAAUGGGUGGUAUGCUCCAUCUAAAGCUAAAUAUCUGCGAGAGACCGAUAGCGAACAAGUACUGUGAGGGAAAGAUGAAAAGAACUUUGAAAAGAGAGUGAAAAAGUACGUGAAAUUGUUGAAAUGGAAGGGUAGGCCGCUAACCAUGUAGAGCCGUGUUUGGGGGGAAGAUAAAUGCUGUAGAAUGUAGCUCCUCGGAGUAUUAUAGAUGCAGUUCAUAUUCCCACCCGAGCGCGAGGAUCUCAGGUUCUACUAAAUGGUGGUCUACCAC